rnacentral:lncRNA from 1 species
AUGUCUUCAGAAUCACAAAUAAACGCACAACUGUGGAAAACAGUUUUAAAUCCCAUCCUCCCCUCCUUCUGGCUCUCGCCAGUGUUCGCCUCCGAAUUAAAUGACUGUUAUUGUGUAUCGGCCCGCAUUACAGCAAAGACUUGCUUAUUUCUCAUUUGCAAAUUGCGGACUCUAUUGCAAGAUUUCAGAGAAUGUUUCCUUAGAGGAAAAAUUUUAAAUCUCGUUUUCUCUCCUUUUCUUCCGAAGAAGUCGACAUUUGGUCUAGGAAAUGGAACUCUUCAGGAGGUAGGGGUGGCACUCUUGGAAACCUCCAAAAACAGCUUCAGGAGUCAAAACCCAGUGGUGCCUCCAGCUGGAAAAUGUAUGCCCAAUGGAAGACUCCUGUAGCCUCUCACACACUGUGAGCCUAAGACGGGUACCUAAUUCUUAGAGUCGAAUGGCAUGGCAGCCCUUUUUCUCCAUGAAAGAAAACACCCUGGGAGAUGGUAGGUUUCCUCUUGGGUUGCUCUCAAAUUAAUGACCUUGCCCUUUUCCAGCACUUUCCCCACUGAAAGGAUGCAAAAAUGCAGCACUAUUUAACAGAUUCAGGGAGGGAGUUCCCUGGUGGUCUAGUG